rnacentral:rRNA from 1 species
CCUACGGGAGGCAGCAGUGGGGAAUAUUGCACAAUGGGGGAAACCCUGACGCAGCGACGCCGCGUGAGUGAAGAAGGAUUUCGGUAUGUAAAGCUCUAUCAGCAGGGAAGAAAAUGACGGUACCUGAUUAAGAAGCCCCGGCUAACUACGUGCCAGCAGCCGCGGUAAUACGUAGGGGGCAAGCGUUAUCCGGAUUUACUGGGUGUAAAGGGAGCGUAGACGGUAGCACAAGUAUGGAGUGAAAUGCCGGGGCUUAACCCCGGAACUGCUUUGGAAACUGGGCAGCUUGAGUGCAGGAGAGGUAAGUGGAAUUCCUAGUGUAGCGGUGAAAUGCGUAGAUAUUAGGAGGAACACCAGUGGCGAAGGCGGCUUGCUGGACUGUAACUGACGUUGAGGCUCGAAAGCGUGGGGAGCAAACAGGAUUAGAUACCCUUGUAGUC